rnacentral:rRNA from 1 species
AUGGCACCUGUCGUGAGCGCUUCACUCGGCGCGUUAGCUCCCCUGCUGGUGAAGCUCACCACCUUGCUCGCCAACGAGUGCGGUCGUCUGAAAGGGGUCCGCCGUGAGAUCCGCUCUCUCAAAUCGGAGCUCACCAGCAUGCAUGGUGCGCUGACAGAGUACACCAAGCUAGAAGAUCCAAAUGAUCAAGUGAAGGCGUGGAUAUUGCUGGUUAGGGAGUUGGCUUACGACACCGAAGAUGUCUUUGACAAGUUCAUCCACCAGCUUGGCAACGGGAGCCACCAGGGCGGUUUUAAGGAGUUCUUCCGCAAGGCCGCCCGUAGUCUGAAGACUCUUGGUUCUCGCCGCAAAAUUGCCAACCAAAUUACUGAGUUGAAGGUUCGCAUCAAGCAAGUGAAAGAGCUCAAGGAUAGUUACAAGUUGAAUGAUACUUCUUCUAGCACCGCCGGUCAAGUUGCUGUGGAUCCCCGGCUCCAGGCACUUUUUGCUGAGGAGACACACCUUGUGGGCGUGGAUGGUCCAAGAGAUGAUCUUGUCAAGUGGAUGGUGAAAGAAGGAAACAACCCAUCCAAUGAUUUGAUGGUGGAAGAAAGCAAGCCUAAACCUUGCAAGGUGUUGUCUAUUGUUGGGUUUGGUGGAUUGGGUAAGACAACACUCGCAAAUGAGGUCUAUCGCAAUGUUCAAGGGUAUUUUCAUUGCAAGGCUUUUGUAUCAGUGUCACAAAAACCAGAUAUUAAAAAAAUUAUGAAGGAUGUGAUUUCUCAGGUGUCUUGCAAAGAUGGGUCCACAAAAGAUACUGACUAUUGGGAUGAAAAGAAGUAUAUCGCCAAGUUAAGAGAAAUGUUGCAAGAUAAAAGGUAUCUCAUCAUCAUUGAUGAUGUAUGGUCUACACAAGUCUGGAAUACUAUCAAGUGUGCUUUUCCAGAAAAUAAUUGUUCUAGCAGAAUUAUAGCUACGACACGCAUCAUCGAUGUGGCAAAGUCUUGUUGUUUGAGUGAAGAUGACCGCAUGUAUGAAAUGGAACCUCUAAGUGAUCUUCAGUCUAAACUAUUGUUUUUCAGAAGAAUAUUUGGCUCUAAUAAGGAUUGUCCUCAUACUUUGAACAAAGUUUCAAAUGAUAUCCUGAAGAAGUGUGGAGGCUUACCACUGGCGAUUAUAAGUAUAUCUAGUUUGUUGGCGAACAGACCAGAAACGAAAGAUGAAUGGGAGAAGGUUAAAAGGUCAAUUGGUUCUACACUAGAAAAUAACCAGAGUCUAGAGGGAAUGACUAGCAUACUAUCACUAAGUUAUAAUGAUCUUCCACCUAAUCUGAAGACAUGCUUUUUGUAUUUAAGUGUAUUCCCUGAGGAUUAUGUGAUUGAGAGAAAUAGAUUAGUGAUGCGAUGGAUCGCCGAAGGCUUUAUAUCUGAAGAACGUGGACAGAGCCAGCAAGAGGUCGCUGAGAACUACUUUUAUGAGCUUAUCAACAAAAGCAUGGUGCAGCCAGUGGGUAUUGGCUAUGAUGGUAAGGUUCAAGCCUGUAGAGUGCAUGACAUGAUGCUGGAAAUUAUUAUAUCAAAAUCAGCUGAAGAUAAUUUUACCACUAUAGUGGGUGGAGGACAGACGAGUUUGGUAAAUCGUCAGGGCAUUAUUCGACGGCUAUCAAUCCAACACAUUGACCAGGAACUUGCAUUUGCAUUGGCCAAUGAAGAUCUAAGCCAUGUUCGAUCUCUAACAGUAACGUCAUUAGGUUGCAUGAAAAAUAUUCCUCAACUCGCUGAAUUUGAAGCUUUACGUGUAUUGGACUUUGAAGGGUGUCAGGGUUUGGAAGAAUAUGAAAUGAAAAAUAUUGAUAGAUUUUUCCAACUAAAGUAUCUCAGCCUCAGGGACACAGAUAUAUCAGAGCUACCUUCAGGGAUUGUGAUGCUACAUGAUCUAGAGACCCUAGAUGUCAGGAGUUUGAAAAUAGAAGAGCUGCCAUCUGCAAUUGUGUUGCUCACUAAACUGCAAUAUCUAUUCACGGAAAAAUCUUGUAAGCUUCCUAACAGGAUUGGAAAUAUGAAGAAUUUACGAGGGAUCCAUUGUUUCGAUAUUACAGAGAGUUCAACUGCUGCCAUGGAGGAUCUCGGAAACCUGACUAGAUUGAACACACUCAGUUUACGGUGGGAUAAUGAAGAUAAUCACAAGAGGGAUGAAGAGAUUAUACUCAGCUCACUGUGCAAGCUUAGCAGCUGUAAACUGCACUCUCUACAUAUAGUGGGUCUUGGUUGCAUGGACUUCAUAGAUUCUUGGUCCCCUCCGUUAUCUUGCCUUCGCAUAUUUGAGGCGGAUGGCGAUACAUAUUUUUGGAAUGUUCCAAAGUGGAUUUCCCCAGGACUUACAAGCCUUACUCAUUUGAGCAUCAAUUUAGCUGAAUUUAUGGAGGAGGAUCUGCACACUCUUGGUAAUCUCCCAUCCUUAGUUAUCCUAAACUUGCGCUUGGAUGUGGGACCCGACACAAGGCUUACCGUAAUUGGAUUCCCAUGUCUGAAGAAGUUUGAACUCCAUAGACAGUAUGGGGCAUAUGUAACGUUCCAGAAAGGGGCUAUGCCCAAACUUGAGAUGCUUGAGGUGUCAUUUGAUGUGUCUGUGGCUGAAACUCAUGGCUUCUAUUUAGGCAUAGAACAUCUUCCAUGUCUCAAAGUAAUAAAGCUGGACUUGAAGCAAGGUGACAACCUUUUGAGAUAUCUGGCUGCAGCGGUUGUGAUCAAUGAAGUACGUGCUCAUUCCAACCGUCCUAAAUUUGCUUACAGGGUGGGUCCAGGUGAAUAUGUCAACUUUGGCACUAACAGUGACGAGGAAAAGAGCCAACUGCCAUGGAGGAGGGGAAGUGUUGAGAGUCUUGAGACCGAUGGUGGCGAGAAAAACCAACUGCAAAUGAAAAGCAAAUAUAAAGCUCCCAUCAUUCUGGAUGAAGUGGUCCUGACCUGCGCGAGGAUGGUUUGCAGCUGGUUAGAUGACUAG